rnacentral:rRNA from 1 species
AUACGGAGGGUGCGAGCGUUGUUCGGAAUCACUGGGCGUAAAGGGCGCGCAGGCGGUUUGUCAAGUCAGAUGCGAAAGGCCACGGCUCAACCGUGGAGGUGCAUCUGAAACUGGCAGACUUGAGUACCGGAGGGGAAAGUGGAAUUCCCGGUGUAGAGGUGAAAUUCGUAGAUAUCGGGAGGAACACCGGAGGCGAAGGCGACUUUCUGGACGGAUACUGACGCUGAGGCGCGAAAGCGUGGGGAGCAAACAGGAUUAGAUACCCUAGUAGUCC